GUAUUAGAUCAUUACGUGAUAAGCCUCUGAAGAAAGACGUUGGGCCUUCCCUCAGUUAAGCUCAAGUCGCCAGCUGCUUCAAAACAAAGACCUGCAACUGGUAACAAACUCAGUCAAUGGGAAAAGAAGAACAGAGAAAGAAGACAAGCGUACGUCUUCUUCAGAAGCUUAUCGGGUAAUGAUCUA